rnacentral:rRNA from 1 species
UACGGGGGGGGCAAGCGUUGUUCGGAAUUACUGGGCGUAAAGGGCUCGUAGGUGGCCAACUAAGUCAGACGUGAAAUCCCCAGGCUCAACUUGGGAACUGCGUCUGAUACUGGAUGGCUUGAAUUCGGGAGAGGGAUGCAGAAUUCCAGGUGUAGCGGUGAAAUGCGUAGAUAUUGGAGGAAUACCGGUGGCGAAGGCGGCAACCUGGACAAGCACUGACACUCAACUGCGAAAGCGUGGGGAGCAAACAGG